UACGAAGGGGACUAGCGUUGUUCGGAAUUACUGGGCGUAAAGCGCACGUAGGCGGAUUCGUAAGUCAGGGGUGAAAUCCCGGGGCUCAACCUCGGAACUGCCUUUGAUACUGCGGAUCUCGAGUCCGAUAGAGGUGGGUGGAAUUCCUAGUGUAGAGGUGAAAUUCGUAGAUAUUAGGAAGAACACCGGUGGCGAAGGCGGCCCACUGGAUCGGUACUGACGCUGAGACGCGAAAGCGUGGGGAGCGAACAGG
rnacentral:rRNA from 1 species